rnacentral:misc_RNA from 1 species
CAGAAAUAUAAUUUUUAUUUUUGCAUUGUAUUGAUUAGGUGUCUGAAUGGAGUUGUAAGCUUAAAUUUACUGUUUGGUUAUAAAUCCUCUUCAAGUUUAUGAUGUUCUGAUCUAAUUAUGUGCUAAGGAAUAUCUUUAGUCUCUAAUCCCAUGAUUUUGUUGUGCCAUUAAUUAUUGCUUUUGCUGUUCUUAUUGUUCUAUGUUAACUUUUUUGCAUUAUUCUGGCACUAGCAUGGUAAUAGAAAUGCUGACCAUAAAUUCAAGGGCUUUGAAUUUUUCAAGAUAAAAAUUAUAUAAGUUUCUGAAUAAUUAUUCUACAUUUUUCAGCCUAUAGCCUUGAUUAUGAAUUAUGAUGGUAAAGG